CCCUACGGGCGGCAGCAGUGGGGAAUAUUGGACAAUGGGCGAAAGCCUGAUCCAGCCAUGCCGCGUGUGUGAAGAAGGCCUUCGGGUUGUAAAGCACUUUCAGUGGGGAAGAAAGCCUUGGGGCUAAUACCCUCGAGGAAGGACAUCACCCACAGAAGAAGCACCGGCUAACUCCGUGCCAGCAGCCGCGGUAAUACGGAGGGUGCGAGCGUUAAUCGGAAUUACUGGGCGUAAAGCGCGCGUAGGCGGUCUGAUAAGCCGGUUGUGAAAGCCCCGGGCUCAACCUGGGAACGGCAUCCGGAACUGUCAGGCUAGAGUGCAGGAGAGGAAGGUAGAAUUCCCGGUGUAGCGGUGAAAUGCGUAGAGAUCGGGAGGAAUACCAGUGGCGAAGGCGGCCUUCUGGACUGACACUGACGCUGAGGUGCGAAAGCGUGGGUAGCAAACAGGAUUAGAUACCCUGGUAGUC
rnacentral:rRNA from 1 species